GCAAGACGCCAGCAGCUUUCGUCUGACACAACGGUUCUAUAGCGAAGGAAAAUUUAUCCCGUGGUGGGCCAGAAGUUUCCAGAACACUUUUUACUUCCCUUCGACCCCACAACAGACCCUGCCCCCUACUGAAGGCCGUGAAGGGCACAGCCUUGGCCACCACAGAGGGGAAAGAGGAGCUGAAGCACCAUAAUCAUCACCACGUCACCAUGCCAAGAAAAUCUAGUGGUACUCCAAAGUUAGACAGAAGGUCACUGUCCAUCUGAAUAUCUUGCUUUUGGGGACACUCCAGAGGAAAGAGCCAAAUCCCGACCUGCUGGACUCUGAGUUCCAGCCCCUGAGGCAGACCCAGCACACACAAGGGGAAUUAAGAAAUAAAGAUGAGUGUGACUCUUAAGUCUUAGCAAAUGGCACAUAUGUUCCCAGUGCUGGCACUGGGGUGAGAAAAAUUAGUUCCUACUGCAUUCUGGUUCCCUUAUCUCUGAUAUUGAUUUAAAAAAACAAACAAAAAACAAAAAACAACAAAAAAAAUGU